GACGAACGCUGGCGGCGUGCCUAAUACAUGCAAGUAGAACGCUGAAGGAGGAGCUUGCUUCUCUGGAUGAGUUGCGAACGGGUGAGUAACGCGUAGGUAACCUGCCUGGUAGCGGGGGAUAACUAUUGGAAACGAUAGCUAAUACCGCAUAAUAGUAGAUGUCGCAUGACAUUUGCUUAAAAGGUGCAAUUGCAUCACUACCAGAUGGACCUGCGUUGUAUUAGCUAGUUGGUGAGGUAACGGCUCACCAAGGCAACGAUACAUAGCCGACCUGAGAGGGUGAUCGGCCACACUGGGACUGAGACACGGCCCAGACUCCUACGGGAGGCAGCAGUAGGGAAUCUUCGGCAAUGGACGGAAGUCUGACCGAGCAACGCCGCGUGAGUGAAGAAGGGUGUCGGAUCGUAAAGCUCGGUUGUAAGAGAAGAACGAGUGUGAGAGUGGAAAGUUCACACUGUGACGGUAUCUUACCAGAAAGGGACGGCUAACUACGUG
rnacentral:rRNA from 1 species